rnacentral:rRNA from 1 species
CAGUAGCCGCGGUAAUACGAAGGGUGCAAGCGUUAAUCGGAAUUACUGGGCGUAAAGCGUGCGUAGGCGGUUUGUUAAGUCAGAUGUGAAAUCCCCGAGCUUAACUUGGGAACUGCAUUUGAAACUGGCAAGCUAGAGUCUUGUAGAGGGGGGUAGAAUUCCAGGUGUAGCGGUGAAAUGCGUAGAGAUCUGGAGGAAUACCGGUGGCGAAGGCGGCCCCCUGGACAAAGACUGACGCUCAGGUGCGAAAGCGUGGGGAGCAAACAGGAUUAGAUACCCCGGUAGUCCCUGUCUCUUAUAA